rnacentral:rRNA from 1 species
GAAUCUUGGACAAUGGGGGCAACCCUGAUCCAGCGACGCCGCGUGGGUGAUGAAGGCCUUCGGGUUGUAAAGCCCUUUCACCGGGGCCGAUGAUGACGGUACCCGGCGAAGAAGCACCGGCUAACUCCGUGCCAGCAGACGCGGUAAGACGGAGGGUGCUAGCGUUGGUCGGAAUCACUGGGCGUAAAGGGCGCGUAGGCGGCGGGUCAAGUCGGCUUUGUGAAAGCCCGGGGCUCAACCCCGGAGGUGCGGCCGAGACUGAUCCGCUGGAGGCCGGAAGAGGAGGGUGGAAUACCCAGUGUAGAGGUGAAAUUCGUAGAUAUUGGGUGGAACACCGGUGGCGAAAGCGGCUCUCUGGUCCGGACCUGACGCUGAGGCGCGAAAGCGUGGGGAGCAAACAGG